rnacentral:sRNA from 1 species
AGGGAGAUCUAGAUUAUAAAGCUCAAGAGGAAGAUACAACUAGAUUAACAGAAACAUUUCAUUUCAUCUCAUUUU